AUUCAAGAAAAAGUGUGGGAAUUCAAUGGAUUAAGCUAAUAAAGGUGGUGAGCCCUCUAACAAAGGCAAAGAGAUUGUGCUCGAAGACCGGGAAUAGGAGUAUAUUGAACUCAUAAUACUGCGCGAGGUAGCUUGUGGAUAGUAGAUAUCGUCAAGGAUUAUAGUCGGCUUUACUACUACAAAAACUGUAGGUUUAUUACCUUUGUGCAAUUUUGUUCUUUGUGGGCCCACAAGUCAAAGUAAAGUAAAUUUCAU